UUCUAGCCUUUCUCAAAAUUUCCUAAGACUCUCUAGAUCCAGAAUCGGUACCAUACUCUCGACGUCCUCCAUCUACAAUCAUCUUCGUUAACUCCGCUUAAAGGUUGCGGCUUGCUGCACUGCUCCUCUGCCACAAUUGUGGCCACCACCGCCUCUUCCUUGCUCCUCCCUUCCAUAUCUCUCAACAACCUCUGCUCCUUCUCUAAAAAUGCCUCCCCAUCUGCUUCUCCGACAAGAGCAUCAGAAGAUCUAGGGUUUCCCUGAGCGUCUCUGCUGGAUCUAAGAAUACCUUCAAAAUUCUGGGUUUUCAAAUUACUGAUAAUGAAGAUUUUGGUCUCGUCGCGACUCUAUCUCUCUCGCCGAAUCCCUCUCUCUGCUCACUAUCUCUCGUUGACUCACUUUCUAGCCGCCUCUGUUUCUCUCUCGCUGCUUCACACCACCGCUCUCUCUUGCCGCUACAAGACCACAAAUCCUCGUACUCAGGUGCAAAAUAUUUUGCAGCAAAUGCAAAACAGGUUCCAUAAAAUGUCGGACUCCAUUAUUGCAAAGAAUAUGCUUACAUCAAUUUAUGGUUUUACUUGAAUGUUGCUUCGAUUAUCAUAUUUGAAGUGUUUCCAACAAAGAGUAAGAACCAUGAUCUUUUUUUUCCGUCAAAAAAUAACCAUGAUCUCUAAUAUUAGUUUCUUUCUGCCAUUAAACUAUAUGAAAUGACAAUUCUCUAAUGACAUAUUAGAUGUAACGAUGAUCCCUGAUAAUUGUUUCUUUAUGUUUAAAUGUCUAUGUUAUAGAUAGUAUCACAUGUGUCUAUAUUAUGAUCUUUAGUUAAGAGUUCCUCUUAUACACAUACUUCUUUGCUCUCGCUGAUUUUCUUUUGUUUCCUAGAUGGAUUAACACAACCGUUCUGGGCUCUCCCCUGGAGAUGGUCAGUUCUUUCAUAACUUUUCUCUGUAGGAAUUCAAUUUGAUGAUGUUUAGAAUGAUCAUCGAUUUGUGGUCAUUUUGGAAUAAUAGGAAGUCUGUUUCUUCUUUGGGUUUGUUAUGAUUUAUGGCUUCUCAUUCUUCCUGCCAAACUAUUGUUAUUUGCAGUUAUGCCCAAACUCAUGAGCACAAGAACAUCUCAGUUCCGGAGUUUACAUGUGUCUCAUCUGCUAAGGUUUCUCCUCUGGGCAAAGGAGCUUUGUAUAUAAGGCCUCUGCUAAUAGGGAGUUUUCUGAUUUUUUACUUGUAUAAAUGAAGUAAGUUUUGAUUUUUUCAAAGAGUUGCAUUUUGUUUGUUUGUUUUCAGAAGCGUGGAUGCUUAUUACUUGGUUUCCAUAAGCUCUCUCGGUCUGCGCUCUCUCGGUCUGCUUAUGUGUUCAAUUCGAUUCUGAUUUUGCUUGUGUAUUGGAUUGGAUGAUCUGGUGAAGAUGCUUUUGAGACUGCAAAGAGCUGACGUUUCUUCUUCUCCCUAAUCUCAUUAGCUUUUGGUUUUAGUUCUUAUUCCUUCUCUCUGUUCUUGAGAGUUUUUUAAAUUUCUCAAUUUUUUUUUCAGAAAAGAAGAAUUUUGCAAUACUUAGACCACAUUAAGCAAAACGAGAGACUUGAAUCAGUUUCAGUUACAUCUCAUCAUUACAGGUUUGAUUUCUUGGUCCUUUACAUGAAUAAUACUGUGUUUAACACUCUUAGGUCGAUUAUUAUUUGCACAGUUCAUCAAAAGCAGGUUUUGGUUACAAUAAACUUUUCUCUAGAACAAUUGGAACGUGUUUUGGAUACAAGAUCAAACCUGGUGGAGUUUUAUAUUGGACAAAAAACAGAAGAGGGCAACAACUGCUGCAAAAACCGGUUGCAAGAUGAUCACAUCUUCUUGAGUUACUAUGUGUGUUUGUUGCUUGGAACAAUGCAACUUAUGGCAUUGAUUCUCUCCCAGGCUAGGCAAGCUCUUCUCACGCAAAGAAUUGCUUCAGCACUUCAAGCAGCCAUGACCACGUCUUGUAAGACAUUUGGUAUGAUGUUUAAGACUUAAUGUUUUGUAAGACUUGUUUUUAGUAUGAUGUUUGUCCUUGUGAUGUUUUGUGUAAGACAUGUUUGGAUGUUUAAUAAAAAUAAGAGUGUUUUUAAUG